UACGUAGGGUGCAAGCGUUGUCCGGAUUUAUUGGGCGUAAAGAGCUCGUAGGCGGUUUGUCGCGUCGUUCGUGAAAACUCACAGCUUAACUGUGAGCUUGCGGUCGAUACGGGCAGGCUAGAGUUCGGUAGGGGAGACUGGAAUUCCUGGUGUAGCGGUGAAAUGCGCAGAUAUCAGGAGGAACACCGGUGGCGAAGGCGGGUCUCUGGGCCGAUACUGACGCUGAGGAGCGAAAGCGUGGGGAGCGAACAGG
rnacentral:rRNA from 1 species